GAGCUCCGCUUUUAGGCAAUGCCUAAAUCUAUAUAUCAGUUUCAGUUUAUUGUUUUGUCACUUAAUACAUUUUUUUAAAUAAAGCAAGGCUUAAACGAGACGGACCUCCUAAAUCUUAAAAGAAAAUACAUAUUUGAUAUUUGGGACAGUCAGAUUAAUCAUAUAAAUAUUUGGUAGGAGAGCUUUCAUAUUUUUUUUCAUACUUAUAUAAAAAACACACACACACAAACAUAAAUCGAGAAAGAAAAAAAAAAUUAAGAGUUAAUAAGAGAAGUCUUUAACUUAUUACAAAAAGAGUUAAGCGUUUUGGCAGACUGAAUAUCAGAAGACAAUGAAUUGAAAUAUUUAGGUCCCUGAUGUCUUAACGCAAACUUAUGUAUAUUUGUUCUAAACUUUCGUGGCCAGAAAUAUUGAACCAAAACGGGAGUUGGGCCGAGCUUUUCCUAUUUUGCAUAUCCAUUGUAUUUGCGCGCAUUUGAUUGGUUCCCGAAAUCCACAAAUCACGGGUCUUAGACCCGUGAAAAAAUGGCGGCUAGACGAGAGAAGGGUUUUUAUCGUACGCUUAAUUCGACUCUUCCGUUGAUCUUUUUUGCGAUCGACCUUUGAAACGAAUUCAAGGUAAAGGUCGGCUUUGGGAAGUUGAUCGGCUUGUCUUAGAGCGCAAGACCACAGAAGGCAAGCAUGAAUACCUCGUUUUAUGGAAGGGCUUCUCUCCCUACGAUGCAACAUGGGAACCUGUCGAAAACAUGACGUCCGAGUGUGUCCGCUUGUUCUACUCCCCACCUAUGCCUGAUGGAGGUGUCCUUCAUUCCAAUGUCGCAGUCUUUCGAGCUGAGGUUGAAGUGCUUUUGAAAUCUAGGUCAAGGUUACCAGUAACCUUUUAUUUCAGGGGAGAUGUUUUUAGAUAUUUAUUUAAUUUUAAUGACUCCAAUUGGCAUUAUCUCGAAAGAGAUCAGUUCCCUGCCACAUAUUUUCCAAAGGGCUGGGAUCAGCUGGCUGACAUGCAUGGACAGGGGAUCAAAGUAUUUUAUCCCAUGAAGGUUAGAAGCUUUGUUAGCUUUACAACAAAGAAAUACUCCAGACAACCCCUGCCAGUUUUAUUACCUAGGGCUUUUCAAGAGAAAGUAACAGUUUCUUUCGUUAAAGUUGCACUUGGUGACAAAUAAAGUUAGUAGAGCCUUAA